GAGGAGACAUUGGCGCAUCGUUUAGGAAAAUCUCCAGAGUGGUUUAUGUUCGAAAAUCUGAAGUUACGGUUAAAAAACUGAAAUUGUGAAAUUGACAAAAUGAGAUUAGGGGGUAGGCCAAUUUAAGUUAAUUUUGGACCAAUUUCAAGAGAUUGUGACGGGCAACGACUAUAUAGGUGUUGUAGAGGAGACAUUGGCGCAUCGUUUAGGAAAAUCUCCAGAGUGGUUUAUGUUCGAAAAUCUGAAGUUACGGUUAAAAAACUGAAAUUGUGAAAUUGACAAAAUGAGAUUAGGGGGGUAGGGCACUAAAAGGAAAUUUUGGACCAUUUCAAAGAG